rnacentral:rRNA from 1 species
GACGAACGCUGGCGGCGUGCUUAACACAUGCAAGUCGAGCGGUAAGGCCCUUUCGGGGUACGACGAGCGGCGAACGGGUGAGUAACACGUGGGUGACCUGCCCUCCAGCUCUGGGAGUAAGCCUGGGAAACCGGGGUACUAAUACCGGAUAUGACUCCAUGACGCAUGUUGUGGGGUGGAAAGCCUUGUGCGGCUGAGGAUGGGCCCGCGGCCUAUCAGCUUGUUGGUGGGGUGAUGGCCUACCAAGGCGACGACGGGUAGCCGGCCUGAGAGGGCGACCGGCCACACUGGGACUGAGACACGGCCCAGACUCCUACGGGAGGCAGCAGUGGGGAAUCUUGCGCAAUGGGCGAAAGCCUGACGCAGCGACGCCGCGUGAGGGAUGACGGCCU